rnacentral:rRNA from 1 species
AAUGAACGCUGGCGGCGUGCCUAACACAUGCAAGUCGAACGAGAAACUCCGGGCUUGCUCGGAGGAGUAAAGUGGCGCACGGGUGAGUAACGCGUGGGUAACCUGCCCCAGAAUCUGGGAUAACAUCGCGAAAGCGUUGCUAAUACCGGAUAUCGUCCUUAAAACUGUGGUUUUUUGGGAUGAAAGAUGACCUCUCCAUGGAAGUUGUCGUUCAGGGAGGGGCCCGCGUACCAUUAGCUUGUUGGUAGGGUAAUGGCCUACCAAGGCUACGAUGGUUAGCUGGUCUGAGAGGAUGAUCAGCCACACUGGAACUGAAACACGGUCCAGACUCCUACGGGAGGCAGCAGUGAGGAAUUUUGCGCAAUGGGGGAAACCCUGACGCAGCAACGCCGUGUGAGUGAAGAAGGCCUUCGGGUCGUAAAGCUCUGUCAAGGGGGAAAAAAUCCUUUCGAUCAAUAGUCAUUAAGGACUGAUGGUACCCCUAGAGGAAGCACCGGCUAACUCCGUG